rnacentral:rRNA from 1 species
GACGAACGCUGGCGGCGUGCUUAACACAUGCAAGUCGAACGGAAAGGCCCCUUUGGGGGUACUCGAGUGGCGAACGGGUGUGUAACACGUGAGUAACCUGCCCUUGACUUCGGGAUAACUUCAGGAAACUGGGGCUAAUACCGGAUAGGAAUCCUUGCUGCAUGGUGGUGGUUGGAAAGCUGCGGCGGUUUUGGAUGGACUCGCGGCUUAUCAGCUUGUUGGUGGGGUAGUGGCUUACCAAGGCUUUGACGGGUAGCCGGCCUGCGAGGGCGACCGGCCACAUUGGGACUGAGAUCCGGCCCAGACUCCUACGGGAGGCAGCAGUGGGGAAUAUUGAACAAUGGGCGGAAGCCGGAUGCAGCAAGGCCGCGUGCGGGAUGACGGCCUUCGGGUUGUAAACCGCUUUCAGCAGGGGCGAAGCUUGUGGUGACGGUACCUGCAGAAGAAGCACCGGCUAACUACGUG